rnacentral:rRNA from 1 species
CACGCCGUAAACGUUGGGCGCUAGGUGUGGGGGCCAUUCCACGGCUUCUGUGCCGCAGCUAACGCAUUAAGCGCCCCGCCUGGGGAGUACGGCCGCAAGGCUAAAACUCAAAGGAAUUGACGGGGGCCCGCACAAGCGGCGGAGCAUGUGGAUUAAUUCGAUGCAACGCGAAGAACCUUACCUGGGUUUGACAUGCACCAGAUGCCGGUAGAGAUGUCGGUUCCCUUGUGGUUGGUGUGCAGGUGG